AUUGAACGCUGGCGGCAUGCUUUACGCAUGCAAGUCGAACGGUAACAGGUUAAGCUGACGAGUGGCGAACGGGUGAGUAAUGCAUCGGAACGUGCCCGGUCGUGGGGGAUAACGCAGCGAAAGCUGCGCUAAUACCGCAUACGAUCUGAGGAUGAAAGCGGGGGACCAUAAGGCCUCGCGCGAUCGGAGCGGCCGAUGUCAGAUUAGGUAGUUGGUGAGGGAAAGGCUCACCAAGCCAACGAUAUGUAGCUGGUCUGAGAGGACGACCAGCCACACUGGGACUGAGACACGGCCCAGACUCCUACGGGAGGCAGCAGUGGGGAAUUUUGGACAAUGGGCGAAAGCCUGAUCCAGCAAUGCCGCGUGAAGGAAGAAGGCCUUCGGGUUGUAAACUGCUUUUGUACGGAGCGAAAAGGCUCUCUCUAAUACAGGGGGCUCAUGACGGUACCGUAAGAAUAAGCACCGGCUAACUACGUGCCAGCCGCCGCCGUAA
rnacentral:rRNA from 1 species